UCUUUCGUGGUGUAAUGGUAACAUCGAUGCUUGUCAGUUCUCCAAGAACCUGUUCGCAUCAGCCCCGAGUUCGAUUCUCGGCGAGAGAG